GGCACAGCUGAGUCUCCGCUGCGUGGCUGUCUCUCCCCUUCCCCACCCCUUCGGCUGCUGCCUGAGUUUCUCUUUUUUUUUUCUCUUUCUGGUGUGCGGAACGAGACCGGAGUUUACGCUCAGGCCUGCGCCGAGAGGAAGGCAGCCAGCGAUUUGUGAAGAAGUGACCGCUGACAAAACCACACGUUUUGGGUUUUAUUUUUAAGGAUGGUGGGGAGGACUGCAAAAUACCGCCUCGCAGGAGGCAGACCUAAAAAGGCGCCUUAAAAUGAAUCCACAAAGGCGGCAUUCCCCCCGCCUCCCCCCCCGCCUCAGCGGACACUCGCUGGAGUUACUGUUGCCGCUCAUGUCCGUCUCUGUGGGUGUAAAGAGGCCGUGUCGCAGGAACUGAAACACCCGAUGCGGAAAGAGUUGCCGGGGCGAGGGACUUCCAGGUGGACAUAACGAACUGGAGUGGCUUUUAAAAACAACCUUUUUGGACGAGCACGGGGGAAAAUGUUGAUGUUCAGGUGAAGGGUCCUUCGCUGGAGGCUGAUGCUCCCCACUGCCACCAGAUUUACUGGAAGUACUUAAAUUGUGGGUUGUGAAGGAGUGUUUGGAGAACGAGAAUGUCCUAAUCUGAAAGGUUUUCUGGUGUUCCUCUGUACAGGUUCCCUAAACAUCAUUCACCAUUGAAGAACAGCAUAGAAAAUCUUGGCCUAAGAGGUGUAUAUUUGGAGAAAUAACAGGAUAAGCAUGAGCAAUUUUCUUAAAGUUUAUAGAGACGAUGCACUAGCCAUUCAAGUCAAAGCAGACUAGUCAAAUGCUCACAGAGCCAAAAGAAGAAUGUACUAUGUCUUUGAGCAGACAGUGAAUGUAAAACUUGCUUUGUUUUCCAGUGGAGAACUUUGUAGACCCUGCAUUGUGCUUACCUGCUGCCCCAAGUCAGCAUUCUCCUCACCCCUUGAGGCUGUGCAUUGCCUUUGGUCAGUGGAGAGCAGUUGCUCCUCUCAGUCAAAUGUAGAGCUUUCCUUUUCGUAUGAGGAACUGUUGGGAGCGCUGGGAACUUUUGAAGUGGUGGUUGAUUCUGUUGACCUCCUGAUCCUCUCUCCAGUUAGACUCCAGAAAGGACCUCUUUACUCUCAUACUACAGCCUUGCAGAUGGCUAUGAUUCUUUGGGGUUUGGGGGGGAUUGUGGUUUUGUUUUGGUUUUUGUUUGUUUGGGGUUUUUUUGUUUUGGUUUGGUUUGUUU